AGUUGACUUAGGUACGAGUUGACUGGAAACCAUCGAUCAGUUGUGCCAAAUAUUCAUAACAUGCACCGAACAUAUGUUUUUCAGUUUCGUCGGAAGACGUUUUCCACCAACCUGUCUUGAAAGAAAUAACGUUUGAACCUGAUUUUCUGAUAUUUUCCAGUUUCCCCUCUCAACAAUUUGCAUCAAACCUCUUGUCUGUUUGGCGGACAAAACAUGCUUAUCGAAAAGAAUGUGUACCACAGGGGCCAGUUUUUCCAUUUGAGCGAUUGACACGAAGAAGAGAUGAGAAUUGUGUUUACAGUGGACAGGUUUAAAGUGGAAGUGACUAGUUAACUGUUGAUCAUAAGCUGCACUGAUGGAAAAAAAAUAGUGGGAAAUUACUAUCUAGAAAACUGUUAAACGUAUGACAACAGUUGUGGAACUUCAUAAAUGACCUAACGUAACCGGGCUGGGCAGAUUUCCUUAUAUAUUUAUAGCGAAACCUUUUGAACACUAGUGAAGUCACUGUUUUUUUCCAAUCUUCAUGCAUUUUGGUCGAAUAUUUGUUCUAAUGAUGGCUCUGUCCAGUUUCGAAAUUGUUAUGUCUAUUUAAAAACAUAUCGGCCAGAGCGUGAGGCAAUUGUCUUUAUAUGGCUAUAAUGAAACCUUGUAAACUCUCUAGAAGUGACAUUUUUAGCCAUAUCUCCAUAAAUUUUGGUCAGAAUAUUUAUUCUAAUGAUAGCUGAGUUCGUAACUGGUUCCGGUUUGUAGACUAACAUGGCUGCCAGUGGACAUGACAGUUUUUCUUAAAUUGCUAGAGUAGAACCUUGUAAACACACAAUUGGCCCUUUUUAUGUGCAUUCUUCAUGAAAGAUGAUAAGAGCAUUUGGCCCAAUAUAAUCUCAGCUGACUUUGAAACUGGAUCACAUAAGGUCAAAAAGUGGGUCAAAAUGUCAAAUUAAAAAAAGCAUGUAAACACUGGAAGUUGCAUUUGAAAUUGUGUUCCUUUAUUUUAACGUUUGUCAAAACAUUUGCUGUAAUGAUAAGCAAAGUCAAGUUAAUAAAUGAUUAUUUGCCUACAAAUUACAUAUUUUUCAUCAAGGACAUUUAUUAUUCUAAACUACACCCUCUCAGAAUAGUUUAGUUCCUUUUGGUCACAGUUGAGCACCUUAAGGCUCUUGUUCUAUAAUUUGAUUGUUUUGGAAAAUUGUCAUUUUGCCAAAAUGUGAGCAAGGUCCAAAUUAACCCUGCUUUGUAGUAUCUUGUUUUCCUUAUAUGAAUCAAGUGGAAAAUUAUAUAUGCCGUAUUUCCUCGAUUAUAAGACGGGUUUUUUCCCCGAUUUUUUAAGGCCUAAAGUGGGGGGGUCGUCUUAUAAGCGCAGUCUACGAAAAAAAAUAAGUUUCUUUACCAAUUUUUGUGAAGUGAUAACCGUAUUUCUGAUGAAGAAAAGAAACUACUUUCGUUUAGAUACGUGAUUUGCCGCUUACAUCCUUAUGUUAUGAUAUAUUAUAAAUGAUAUGUCUGUUUGGAAUACUCGCGAGUUUAAAAUCGAAUAAAAAUUAAACAUAAAAAUUUAUUAAAGCAAAUAUGUACAAAUACUGUUGUUAUUAUUCUAUUAUUUUCUAUUUGCAGCAAAAUAUUUACUGCGGAUCGUUGCUACUGUGGCGGUGAAGAAUCAGCGUUAGAUCGCUUAUGUCAUUUUGAAUAAAUCGGUUGAAAACAAUUAACGUUUCUUAAAUUUAUAUAAAUAUAUCGUCUAUCUAUUUCAUUAUAAUAAAUAAUGUUUUGCAUAUUUUGUUCUAUUUUCAGGGAAUGCAGGGUAAAUGUACGUCAUGCUUUAUUAUCUGUAUCUUUAUUUUUCUAAAUAAAACACCUAUUUGUUUCCAAUUAAACUGCAAUUGUUGUGCAAACACUAUUGUCAUAGAUGACAGUUUGUUUAUUGCCGACUUACUAUCAACAUGUGCAACCGUUAUCUAGCCGUUAAUUGGCAGUUUUAUUGAUACAAUUCGAGAUAGUAUUGACCCCUAACAGACCCCCUACAGAUAGCUUGGUGCUACAAACAGCUAGCAACUAAUUGUCAGACAAUACUCUUGUUUACUAAGCCGUUAAUUGGGUGUUUAAUGGACACAGAUGGCAUUAUACCUCCAACACUAAUCAAGUUUAAAUGACAUACCUGGUAUUUGAUUGGCCAAUCUGAUGCAUACAUUAAUAUAUUUAUAUACAUUAUCAUACACUCUGUAUUGAAAAUAGGAUGACGUGAAUCAGGGAACGAAUCCGAUAACGAGCUUACUUGGUGUAUUGUACUUACAAAAUGGCCGACCAACAAAUUUUGACUAUUGAAAUUUUACCGAUUUUCGUCUUUAAAAAAUUGCCCCGUCUUAUAAGCGAGUCUACGCAAAAUACAGCCAAUCUGGACCUAAAGUUGGGGUCUCGUCUUAUAGUCAAUCCGUCUUAUAAUCGAGGAAAUACGGUGAAUCUGACUGCAUAGAUAUUUGGUAUUCAGCAUAGCAUAGCAAAUGUUGUAAAACUAAACACAAUUGUGUCAUAAUAAAACUGGCCAUGCCAUGGGAGUCAAAUGGUAAAUACAGACUUGUAGCAAAAAGACUUCUAAAAAUUGUAUCCGUUAAAUAUAUUUUGUGUACAUAUUGAUUAGCUUUUACCUUCAACUUAUCGCUUUCAUGGUGUAAAGAAAACAUGCCGACUUACUAAAUAAGAAGGAGAUCUGGGUAUGAAUCCUAGUGAAAGUCAAGUCACAAGGAAAAAUGCUUAUUGUUGGAAGGAUUUAUUAGUUAUUCAAAAUGUAAGAUUUUUUUUCUUUGCUCGUUCAGUUACACAUAACAGCAAAUAAUCUGAAAGUAGUUGUUUAUAAUGUAAAAGAUAGUGUCAUGAAUAGUAAAUAGGAAGAAUGCACUUAUAAGAAACUAUACAUAUUGUAUAUAAAACUAAAAUACACAGAAAUGAAA